rnacentral:lncRNA from 1 species
UUGGUCCUAUGAUCUCUGAGCUUGGGAAGUUUCUCCUAGAAGCCUGAAAUCAUAAUAGAAGAAUUCAAUUUCUUCAACAAAGACCUACAAUUGAGUUCUCCACAGCUUGGUCUAAUACACUAUACUGAGACACCUAACCAUGCAUUGCACUUAACGUAUCUCAACUAUGUGCUUGGGUAAGCUAGGUUGUAGCGAUAACAACGAUUGCAUCUAAUAUGAACUACGGAAUAGAAAACAUGGAUAUUAUGAGUUUUCCAAAUAAAAAUAUCAUGGCCCAUUAUCUUUAUUCAGAAAUGAGAUGUCAAUCCCAUUAUCAUUCUUGCUGACCCCUUCCGAUCUUAGAAAGGAUCAGGCAACAUAGCCAACAAGCCAUACCAUUGGGAUCAUCUUAAGAUUUUGUGCAAUUCACAUACAUCAUGACAAUCUUUAUAAUGGUAACAAAGUAUAGGAUGUGCUCCCGGCUUAAAUAACUAUAUCUUAAAAAUAUUUUUAAGGAAUUUCUAAAUUUAGAUUAAAAACAAUAAAAAGAAAAGCCAAUCUCUAGUUUCCAUUACCACAUUCACAGUCAGCAUGGACGGAUCCAUUAAGGGGGCAGCAUAGGAAGCUGCCCCGCCGGAUUUUUUUUUAUAGGUAUAAGAGUAGGGGCAAAUAUAUAAGUGAAUAAAUUUAAGAAGACAAAUUAAUGAAAAAGUUUAGCUUGGAGGGGGACAAAAAAAAUAUUCAUUCAUAUUUUAAAUACAAGUACAUACAAACGUAUAUUCAUUCUACUUCUGUCUUCUAAAUUCUAAGUUGUAUCUAAAUAUUUUUUAUUUAAAAUUUCUUUUUUAGUUUAGAUUAUGAAUAUUUAUUGCAAUUUGUAAAUAUUAUUAUGAUUAGUUAAUAUUAUGAUUAGUUCAAGUUUUCUUUAUUUAACUUCAACAAAAAAAAAAUUAGUUAAAAUCCCUCGGAUCCGCCCCUGACAGUCAGCUUGAUAAGAGAAUCCCAAAAACAAUUAUUAUUUAGACCCAAAAAAAAUUAAUUGAGUAAGCUACAUAACAACAUACAAAUCAACCUAACCUCCAGAAUUGAGCAAAACCCAUAAAUUAGACUAUUAAGCUUAAAAUUAAUAAUUCUAGCUCUAUUGUUCAAUUCUACACCAUAUUAGCCAAUACCCAAAACCCAUGAAUACAAUCAUGAAAAGCAGUUGAUACAUAAAUUGAAUUACAUUAAAAAGAAAUAAAAUUGAAUACCAAGAACUAAUAAUACCGUCGAUGGGGGUGGAAAAAUUGACGCAAAAACACCAGCCGAUGACGAUGGCGACUCUUUGGCGCCAAAAAGGUCAGCCGUAAACGAUGCGGAAGUAGAAGGAGAUGAAGAACCCACUUGCUUAUUAUUUGCCAUUUAUUUCUCUCCUCUUAAUAUUGUCAAUCCAACAAACAAACUGAAAUGCCCAACUGAAAGAUUAAUAAUUAAUUUGGAAAAAGAGAGGCAAUAUUGAAUAAGAUCAAACUCUAUAUCAGAUUCGAAUGCACUGCGCAGUCUGCGCCCUAUACAUAUAGGCUUCCUUCCAUAUGCCCAG